UGCGGAAGGAUCAUUAACGAGUUUUGAAGUGGGUUUGAUGCUGGCCUUCCCAGGCAUGUGCUCGCCCUGCUCUCAUCCACUCACAUCUGUGCACCUAUAAAUGUCAGAAGAUUCAUCCCCUAGACUCUUAGGGGUGUAGUUCGAGCUAGCUUGGACUAUUGGGUUGAGUCUUUUGCGUUUACCUUUUUAUAAACUCUUGAAUGUAAUAGAAUGUUCAUGGCCUACGGGCUUUUAUAAAUGAAAUACAACUUUCAACAACGGAUCUCUUGGCUCUCGCAUCGAUGAAGAACGCAGCGAAAUGCGAUAAGUAAUGUGAAUUGCAGAAUUCAGUGAAUCAUCGAAUCUUUGAACGCACCUUGCGCUCCUGGGCUAUUCCUAGGAGCAUGCCUGUUUGAGUGUCUUGAAAUCAUCAACCCCAGUUGGAUUUUAAAUUUGACUGGUGGCUUGGACUUGGGGGCUUGCUGGCCGUUUUGAUUCGGUCUGGCUUCCCUUGAAUGUAUUAGCUUGGACUUGUUCCUAAGGCUUCAUGGCGUGAUAAUUAUCUACGCUUUGUACUGUCUGUGGAAUAUCUAUGGGUCUGGCUUCUAACUGUCCUCUGGACAAUCUUUCAAUCUUUGACCUCAAAUCAGGUAGGACUACCCGCUGAACUUAAGCAUAUCA
rnacentral:rRNA from 1 species